GAUGAAGAACGCAGCGAAACGCGAUAAGUAAUGUGAAUUGCAGAAUCCAGUGAAUCAUCGAAUCUUUGAACGCACAUUGCGCCCGCCAGCAUUCUGGCGGGCAUGCCUGUUCGAGCGUCAUUUCAACCCUCGACCUCCCCUUGGGGAGGUCGGCGUUGGGGACCGUCAGCACACCGCCGGCCCUGAAAUGGAGUGGCGGCCCGUCCGCGGCGACCUCUGCGCAGUAAUACAGCUCGCACCGGGACCCCGACGCGGCCACGCCGUAAAACACCCAACUUCUGAACGUUGACCUCGAAUCAGGUAGGACUACCCGCUGAACUUAAGCAUAUCAAUAAGCGGAGGA
rnacentral:misc_RNA from 1 species